rnacentral:rRNA from 1 species
AUGGGCGGCGUCACCUCGACGGUCGCGGCCCGCUUCGCCUUCUUCCCGCCCAGCCCGCCGUCCUACGGCAUCGAGCCCCUGCCGCCGCCCGAUGCCGCCGGGGCGACGGCCGGGGAGGCCAAGGGGGAGGAGGGGAGCGUGGUGGUGGAGCUCACGGGGGUGCCGCGGAGGGCCAACGUGGAGGCGCGGCGGCUGCGGACCAAGCGGGGCACGGACGUGGUCGCCGUGUACGCGCGCCAGACCGGCGCCAAGCUCACGCUGCUCUACUCCCACGGCAACGCCGCCGACCUGGGCCAGAUGUACGAGCUCUUCGUCGAGCUCAGCGCGCACCUCAACGUCAACCUCAUGGGCUAUGACUACUCUGGUUAUGGACAAUCUUCUGGAAAGCCCAGUGAGCAAAACACAUAUGCUGAUAUAGAGGCUGUUUACAGAUGUCUCAUAGAAACCUAUGCAGCCUCUGAGGAAAAUAUCAUUCUUUAUGGCCAAUCAGUGGGGAGUGGUCCUACUUUGGAUUUGGCUUCACGUUUGCCUCGUUUGAGAGCAGUUGUUGUACAUAGUCCAAUUUUGUCUGGUUUAAGAGUGAUGUAUCCUGUAAAACAUACAUACUGGUUUGACAUAUAUAAGAACAUCGACAAAAUUCCACUAGUCAGUUGCCCUGUUCUAGUGAUUCAUGGUACAGCUGAUGAGGUUGUCGACUGUUCUCAUGGGAGGGCAUUGUGGGAACUCGCUAAAGUAAAGUACGAGCCUCUAUGGGUUAAAGGAGGAAACCACUGUAAUUUGGAACUGUAUCCAGAAUACAUUAAGCAUCUAAAGAAGUUUGUUGGAGCCAUAGAGAAACUGCCACCCCCAAAUGAUGAAUCCCCAGAGAGCUCAGGUGCAUCGGACCGUACCCAAACAGAGCCCGAAGGUACAGAGGAGCCAAGGAAAAGCGUAGACCAUAGGGAGAAGACAAGGCCAAGCAUAGAUCAUAGAAAGAGCACAGACCGUCGAGAUAAACCAAGAGGCAGUACAGAUAGGAGGGACAAAAGCAGAAAGAGUGUAGAUAAUCCUGACAGACCACGAGCUAGCGUUGAUCAGCCCGAUAGGCCAAGGAAAAGCGUUGACCGCUUUGGAGGGAUGAUGAAGGCUGUGAGGUUGCGCAACAUCGACUGUUUCAAGGUACCGACAACGUCCUCCGGGAGCUGA